UAUAAACCGUCUUUAAGCAGUUUGUACAGUUUGCACAUACCCUAACUUCUUGAACAUCAUUUCCAUAAGGAACAUAUGAGAGUAAGGUUUUCAAACCUUGUAAGGCAUUUCCUCUAUUUUAAUUAAUAAAAAAAUUGCUUCUUUUAAAUAAACAUACGUUUGAAUGGCAGACCGGGCUUGAGGAAUGAGUUGAGAGACGGCUGCUUGGACUUGCUCCGCCGUUUCGUUACGAAUUGGAAAUAUAUCUUGCUCUGUUAAAACAGGUUCUGUGAUGGAGUCGACAUCCAAAGUCCGAAACGUCAUUUUAUAACUCUAUAACUGGUAAGGUAAAGAAAACGAUGGAACAGGUUAAGUUUCAGCUGUGUGUAGCUCUAAAGAGGCAUCAUACAACGGUCGAACGCAAGUCUGUAACUGAAGUUAUUA